GGUGAGAUGGCCGAGCGGUCUAAGGCGCCAGACUAAGGAUCAGGGCAGUUUAUGUCCACUUCUCCUCUUCCUUCGGGAUUGGGUAUCUGGUCCUCCGGGGCGUGGGUUCGAAUCCCACUCUCAUCA
rnacentral:tRNA from 1 species